rnacentral:rRNA from 1 species
AUACGGAGGAUGCAAGCGUUAUCCGGAUUUAUUGGGUUUAAAGGGUGCGUAGGCGGUUUGCUAAGCGGGAGGCGAAAUGCCGGCGCUCAACGUCGGAAGUGCCUCCCGAACUGGUGGACUGGAAUGACUCUGCCGUGGGAGGAAUGUGUAGUGUAGCGGUGAAAUGCUUAGAGAUUACACAGAACACCGAUUGCGAAGGCAUCUCACGAAGGGUUGAUUGACGCUGAGGCACGAAAGCGUGGGGAUCAAACAGGAUUAGAUACCCUGGUAGUCCACGCAGUAAACGAUGAUGGCUAACCGCUGGUUUAUUCGGAUCAGUGGCCAAGCGAAAGCGAUAAGCCAUCCACCUGGGGAGUACGACCGCAAGGUUGAAACUCAAAUGAAUUGGCGGGG